rnacentral:rRNA from 1 species
GGCUCAGGAUGAACGCUGGCGGCGUGCCUAAUACAUGCAAGUCGAACGGUCUAGCGCAAGCUAGAUAGUGGCGAACGGGUGAGUAACGCGUUGGUGACCUGCCCCGAAGUGUGGGAUAACAGUUCGAAAGGAUUGCUAAUACCGCAUGUGGUUAUAGGGAUUAGAUGCCUUGUAACUAAAGGAGUAAUUCGCUUCGGGAGGGGCCUGCGUCCCAUCAGCUAGUUGGUAAGGUAACGGCUUACCAAGGCGGUGACGGGUAGGGGACCUGAGAGGGUGGCCCCCCACAAUGGAACUGAAACACGGUCCAUACACCUACGGGUGGCAGCAGUAGGGAAUAUUGGUAAUCUGCGAAAGCGGGAACCAGCAACGCCGCGUGUGCGAUGAAGGCCUUCGGGUCGUAAAGCACUUUUCGAGGGGAUGAGGAAGGACAGUACCCUCGGAAUAAGUCUCGGCUAACUACGUGCCAGCAGCCGCGGUAAAACGUAGGAGGCGAGCGUUAUCCGGAUUUACUGGGCGUAAAGCGCGUGCAGGCGGUUCUGUAAGUUGGAUGUGAAAGCUCCUGGCUCAACUGGGAGAGGUCGUUCAAUACUGCAGGACUUGAGGAUGGUAGAGGGAGGUGGAAUUCCGGGUGUAGUGGUGAAAUGCGUAGAUAUCCGGAGGAACACCAGUGGCGAAAGCGGCCUCCUGGACCAUUUCUGACGCUCAGACGCGAAAGCUAGGGGAGUAAACGGGAUUAGAGACCCCGGUAAUCCUAGCUGUAAACUAUGUAGACGUGGCGUCGGUGGGUUUAAAUCCAUCGGUGCCGUAGCUAACGCGAUAAGUCUACC